UGCGGAUUGGUGUAAGGGUAACAUUUCUGGCUCAUGAUCAGGCGAUAAGGGUUCAAAUCCUUUGUCCGCAC